rnacentral:lncRNA from 1 species
GCCGGGGUCUCAGACCCUGAGGAGACUGAGCCCAGCGCCAGGCGACCGGUCCCCGCCGCCGCCGCCCCUGCGCGGGAGAUCCCCCCUGCUUAGUCCGCGCCCGAGCCCCCGUCCGUGGGAACAGACAAGGGGCCUCCGCAGCGCCUCACAACCCCCGACCAGGUCCAGCGGCGGGGGACUCGGCCGUGGAGGGCGCUGUUCGGUCUGGAUGGCUCCCCCCAUCAGCGGGAGGCUACACCCCCCACCAGCAGGGGCAAGAGGAGCAGCGGGAUGGGAGCAGGCCAACGUCCUGCGGCCUGGUUGAGCUCGCACUGACAAUCGCAGGCCCAGUAACCCGCAGGUCACCGCGCUCCCCACCUGCGUUGCUGACGGUGACAUCGUCAGGGGAGGGGGGCGCGCCUUCCCAGAGGCUCAGGUCGCGAGGGUAGCCGGGGUCCGGGCGCGCCGCCGCCUCGUCGUAGCGCCAGUACUGCCGGCCGCGGACCAGGUAGGUCUUCCCGUUCUGUGGCCACGAGAACACGGCGUCCACCUCCUCUCCCGGGGGCAGCCCCAGCUCCGUGAGCGGCCGCGCCCCGCCCUCCAGCUGCCGGUCCUGGAACACCCAGAACUGGGGCCCUGCAGGGUGGAGGCCGGGAGGUCAGGGGUGGGCUCCCCGCGCCGGCCCCAGCGCGCCCCGCCGCCGGCCCCACUCACCGCUAAAGAGGAGGAUUCGGCCGUCUCGGUGCCGAGCAUAGGCGGCCUGCACCACCCUCACCUGGGCGGGCAGCCCCUCCCAGAAGCGGUGCAGCCGUGCGGGUCGCGGGGACACCAGCUGUCCGGAGGGCUGGAGGCGCCAGAA